rfam:Salmo salar isolate Sally breed double haploid chromosome ssa17, whole genome shotgun sequence.
UGAAUGCAUUGAUUGUAUGUCGCUCUGGAUAAGAGCGUCUGCGAAAUUACUCAAA